AUACAUAGGGGGCGAGCGUUGUCCGGAAUGACUGGGCGUAAAGGGUGUGUAGGCGGUUUGUUAAGUUAGAAGUGUAAUACCCAGAGCUUAACUCGGGUGCUGCUUCUAAUACUGAUGAACUUGAGUGUAGGAGAGGAUGAUGGAAUUCCUAGUGUAGCGGGAAAAUGCGCAGAUAUUAGGAGGAACACCGGUGGCGAAGGCGGCUAUCUGGACAGUAACUGACGCUGAGGCGCGAAAGCACGGGGAGCAAACAGGAUUAGAUACCCUGGUAGUCCGUGCCGUAAACGAUGAAUACUAGGUGUAGGGGGUAUCGACUCCCUCUGUGCCGUAGUUAACACAUUAAGUAUUCCACCUGGGGGGUACGGCCGCAAGGUUGAAACUCAAAGGAAUUGACGGGG
rnacentral:rRNA from 1 species